rnacentral:lncRNA from 1 species
UUAUGCAGAAUACAAAAUACACCUGCAAGGCACAAUUACUGACGAUAAAUACAGAUUUUGGAUGGUGGUAUAAAGCAUGUUAUGACUGUAAAGGAGCAGUAAAGGAUUACGACGAUAACUUUUGGUGUGGGCAAUGCGGAAAAAAUGACCAGCCUCCUGUGCCAUGGUGUGUAUUAAUAAUUUGCGAAUAUUUUAAGUUGAUGGUGAAAUAAAUUUGACUGCAUAAUAUCGAAUUAACAUAUAUAUAUAUAUAUAUAUACUUUUUUUUUCUACAAAAUAAACACUAUAAAAUGUAAAAAAAAUUUCCGACAAAAUUUUUUUUUACGAAGAAUUAUUUUUCACAGUUUUACGUUGAACCAAACAGACCUU